UAGAUUUGAUCCUGGCUCAGAACGAACGCUGGCGGCGUGCCUAACACAUGCAAGUCGAGCGAGAAAGCCGCAAGGGUGAGUAAAGCGGCGAACGGGUGCGUAACACGUGGGUAAUCUGCCCUGAGAGUCCGGAAUAACUCGCCGAAAGGCGUGCUAAUGCCGGAUGAGACCACGGGAGCCUCGGCUCCUGCGGGAAAAGGUGGCCUCUGUACACAAGCUAUCGCUCUGGGAUGAGCCCGCGGCCCAUCAGCUCGUUGGCGGGGUAAUGGCCCACCAAGGCUACGACGGGUAGCUGGUCUGAGAGGACGAUCAGCCACACUGGAACUGAGACACGGUCCAGACUCCUACGGGAGGCAGCAGUGGGGAAUCUUGCGCAAUGGGCGAAAGCCUGACGCAGCAACGCCGCGUGUGUGAUGAAGGUCUUCGGAUCGUAGAAGCACUGUCGCGAGGGACGAAUAAGGGGCGGGCUAACAUCCCGUUCCGAUGACGGUACUCGAGAGGAACACGGCUAACUCUGUGCCAGCAGCCGCGGUAUACAGAGGUGCA
rnacentral:rRNA from 1 species